CACGUAGGCACCAAGCGUUGUCCGGAUUUAUUGGGCGUAAAGAGCUCGUAGGCGGUUCGAUAAGUCGGGUGUGAAAACUUUGGGCUCAACCCAAAGCGUGCAUUCGAUACUGUUGUGACUAGAGUUCGGUAGGGGAGUGGGGAAUUCCUAGUGUAGCGGUGAAAUGCGCAGAUAUUAGGAGGAACACCGAUGGCGAAGGCAGGUCUCUGGGCCACUACUGACGCUGAGAAGCGAAAGCAUGGGGAGCGAACAGG
rnacentral:rRNA from 1 species